GACCCUGAAUGUGUUAAAAGUAAUGUCAAGUGCAGAAAUGAUGCCUGUUUUGGACCAAACUCGAUGAGACUUAAGAAAAAAGAAGAAAAAGAUGUGUUUUGCUUGAAGUGAUGGUGCCUCCAAAUGCCCCCAUGAAGUCUGUUUUCCAGCUUAUAGCAUCAGAUAUGGAGAAACUGAAGCAGCUCCAGGAACAGUUGAAUGGCAAAAGCAAAUCUAAAAACACCUUGCAGUAUCCUGCAGAGAUUCUAAUACAGAAAAAAUCGAAUUCUUGGAGCAUCUUAUAAAGUA